rnacentral:lncRNA from 1 species
GCCUGAGCUGGUCUGAGGGUCCUGAUUUUUCACCAGUGCCUUCCCUUCUACUGUUCCCUGAGGACAGGCACCCCCAGAUGGAAACUCUGACUUGCCCUCUACCUCAUCUCCACAGGAACCUUCCUCCUCAAAAAUCAAAGAACACAGUGGAUGCGAAAAUAUUCCAUAAAUGGAAAAACGUAGAUGUAGAGAAGAACUAAGCCACAUCUGUCGAGGGCCCUGCACUUGCCAGGUCAUGAGCUAUGAAGUUGAUUUACUGACCCAUGAAUGGGUCACAACCCGCAGUUUGGAAACAGCUGGAUGGACCCCCACCUGUGCUUUCCAGCUUCUCCUAGAGCCUCAGGGCCCCAGGAAGGCAGUGUGGUCUCUGCAACCAGCUUCUAGAGACUUCUAGCAUACUUUGGCUUGUGGCAUCUUCCAUCUUCAAAGCCUACAGCAGUCAACUGAGUCCUUCUCACAUCACAUCUCCUCUUCUGACUCUCAUGUUCCCUCUUCCACUUCAAAGGGUCCUUGCUUGUGACAAUGCUGGAUCACUCCUUACUUUAAGGUCCUUCUCCUGGGAGAAACACUUCAACUUUUGCAAAAGAUUCAUUAAUUCAUCACCAUGGCACCCAGAAAAAAAAAAUGCAGAAGAGAAGACUCAAGUUGUGGCCGACCCAAGGUGGCUGCAAACUGUUUGAGAUUUUCCUCGUUGAGAAGUGGGGGUCUAAGUUCCCUCCCUUGAACCUAGGCAGGCCCUCUGACUGCCUAACCAACAGAAAUAGCAUGGAAGCGACACUGUACCGGUUUUUGAGGCUAAGCCUGAAGAGACUGGCAGUUCCCACUUCCUGUCAUCUGGGAAUAAUUGUUCUUGAAACCUAAGUGCUAUGCUGUGAGGAAGCCAAGCAGCCUCGAUGACAGGCCCACAUGGAGCGGAACCAAACCCUGGCCAGCAGCCCCUGCUGCACCCCUAGCUGACAGCCAGGUUCGACUUGUCUUGCAUACCAGUAUGUCAUCCUGGAUGAGGAUCCC